rnacentral:rRNA from 1 species
AUUGAACGCUGGCGGCAUGCCUUACACAUGCAAGUCGAACGGUAACGGGCCUUCGGGUGCCGACGAGUGGCGAACGGGUGAGUAAUACAUCGGAACGUGCCCGAUCGUGGGGGAUAACGAGGCGAAAGCUUUGCUAAUACCGCAUACGAUCUACGGAUGAAAGCAGGGGACCGCAAGGCCUUGCGCGGACGGAGCGGCCGAUGGCAGAUUAGGUAGUUGGUGGGAUAAAAGCUUACCAAGCCGACGAUCUGUAGCUGGUCUGAGAGGAUGAUCAGCCACACUGGGACUGAGACACGGCCCAGACUCCUACGGGAGGCAGCAGUGGGGAAUUUUGGACAAAGGGCGCAAGCCUGAUCCAGCCAUGCCGCGUGUAGGAUGAAGGCCUUCGGGUUGUAAACUGCUUUUGUACGGAACGAAAAGCCUUCUUUUAAUACAGGAGGGUCAUGACGGUACCGUAAGAAUAAGCACCGGCUAACUACGUG